rnacentral:rRNA from 1 species
GUUGUAUGGUUAAGUGACUAAGCGUACACGGUGGAUGCCUUGGCAGUCAGAGGCGAUGAAAGACGUAGUAACUUGCGAUAAGCCCAGAUUAGGUAGUAACAACCAUUUGAGUCUGGGAUUUCUGAAUGGGGAAACCCACGUGCAUAAGCACGUAUCCUUACCUGAAUACAUAGGGUAAGGAGGCGAACCGGGGGAACUGAAACAUCUAAGUACCCCGAGGAAAAGAAAUCAACCGAGAUUCCGAAAGUAGCGGCGAGCGAAAUUGGACUAGCCCUUAAGCUUUACACGCGUUAGACGAACGGUCUGGAAAGUCCGACGAUACAGGGUGAUAGUCCCGUAGUUGACGACGUGUGUUCAGUGAAAUCGAGUAGGGCGGGACACGUGAUAUCCUGUCUGAAUAUGGGGGGACCAUCCUCCAAGGCUAAAUACUACUGACUGACCGAUAGUGAACCAGUACCGUGAGGGAAAGGCGAAAAGAACCCCUGUGAGGGGAGUGAAAUAGAACCUGAAACCGUGUACGUACAAGCAGUAGGAGCAGGCUUUGUCCUGUGACUGCGUACCUUUUGUAUAAUGGGUCAGCGACUUAUAUUCAGUGGCAAGGUUAACCAUCUAGGGGAGCCGUAGGGAAACCGAGUCUUAACUGGGCGUUCAGUCUCUGGAUAUAGACCCGAAACCAGGUGAUCUAGCCAUGGGCAGGUUGAAGGUUGAGUAACAUCAACUGGAGGACCGAACCGACUAAUGUUGAAAAAUUAGCGGAUGACUUGUGGCUAGGGGUGAAAGGCCAAUCAAACCUGGAGAUAGCUGGUUCUCCCCGAAAGCUAUUUAGGUAGCGCCUCGGACGAAUACUACUGGGGGUAGAGCACUGUUAAGGCUAGGGGGUCAUCCCGACUUACCAACCCUUUGCAAACUCCGAAUACCAGUAAGUACUAUCCGGGAGACACACGGCGGGUGCUAACGUCCGUCGUGGAGAGGGAAACAACCCAGACCGCCAGCUAAGGUCCCAAAUUACUACUAAGUGGGAAACGAUGUGGGAAGGCUCAGACAGCCAGGAUGUUGGCUUAGAAGCAGCCAUCAUUUAAAGAAAGCGUAAUAGCUCACUGGUCGAGUCGGCCUGCGCGGAAGAUGUAACGGGGCUAAGUAGUAAACCGAAGCGUGCGGCAAUGUGCUUUUGCUACAUUGGGUAGGGGAGCGUUCUGUAAGCGGUUGAAAGGUGUGUGGUAACGCAUGCUGGACGUAAUCAGAAGUGCGAAUGCUGACAUGAGUAACGAUAAAGGGGGUGAAAAACCUCCUCGCCGGAAGACCAAGGGUUCCUGUCCAACGUUAAUCGGGGCAGGGUAAGUCGACCCCUAAGGCGAGGCCGAAAGGCGUAGUCGAUGGGAAACGGGUUAAUAUUCCCGUACUUCUUACAAUUGCGAUGGGGGGGACGGAGAAGGCUAGGUGGGCCUGGCGACGGUUGUCCAGGUUCAAGUGCGUAGGCUUGAGAGUUAGGUAAAUCCGGCUCUUUUUAAGGCUGAGACACGACGUCGAGCACCUACGGGUGUGAAGUCAUUGAUGCCAUGCUUCCAGGAAAAGCCUCUAAGCUUCAGAUUGUAAGGAAUCGUACCCCAAACCGACACAGGUGGUCGGGUAGAGAAUACCAAGGCGCUUGAGAGAACUCGGGUGAAGGAACUAGGCAAAAUGGUACCGUAACUUCGGGAGAAGGUACGCUCUCGACGGUGAAGUCCCUCGCGGAUGGAGCUAUUGAGAGUCGCAGAUACCAGGUGGCUGCAACUGUUUAUUAAAAACACAGCACUGUGCAAAAUCGUAAGAUGACGUAUACGGUGUGACGCCUGCCCGGUGCCGGAAGGUUAAUUGAUGGGGUUAGACUUCGGUCGAAGCUCUUGAUCGAAGCCCCGGUAAACGGCGGCCGUAACUAUAACGGUCCUAAGGUAGCGAAAUUCCUUGUCGGGUAAGUUCCGACCUGCACGAAUGGCGUAAUGAUGGCCACGCUGUCUCCACCCGAGACUCAGUGAAAUUGAAAUCGCUGUGAAGAUGCAGUGUACCCGCGGCUAGACGGAAAGACCCCGUGAACCUUUACUACAGCUUGGCACUGAACAUUGACCCUACAUGUGUAGGAUAGGUGGGAGGCUUUGAAGCACGUACGCCAGUAUGUGUGGAGCCGUCCUUGAAAUACCACCCUUGUAGUGUUGAUGUUCUAACGUCGACCCCUUAUCGGGGUUGCGGACAGUGCCUGGUGGGUAGUUUGACUGGGGCGGUCUCCUCCCAAAGAGUAACGGAGGAGCACGAAGGUGGGCUAAUCACGGUUGGACAUCGUGAGGUUAGUGCAAUGGCAUAAGCCCGCUUGACUGCGAGAAUGACAAUUCGAGCAGGUGCGAAAGCAGGUCAUAGUGAUCCGGUGGUUCUGAAUGGAAGGGCCAUCGCUCAACGGAUAAAAGGUACUCCGGGGAUAACAGGCUGAUACCGCCCAAGAGUUCAUAUCGACGGCGGUGUUUGGCACCUCGAUGUCGGCUCAUCACAUCCUGGGGCUGAAGUCGGUCCCAAGGGUAUGGCUGUUCGCCAUUUAAAGUGGUACGCGAGCUGGGUUUAGAACGUCGUGAGACAGUUCGGUCCCUAUCUGCCGUGGGCGUUGGAAGAUUGAAGGGGGCUGCUCCUAGUACGAGAGGACCGGAGUGGACGAACCUCUGGUGUUCGGGUUGUGUCGCCAGACGCAUUGCCCGGUAGCUAAGUUCGGAAUCGAUAACCGCUGAAAGCAUCUAAGCGGGAAGCGAGCCCUGAGAUGAGUCUUCCCUGAUACUUUAAGUAUCCUAAAGGGUUGUCGGAGACUACGACGUUGAUAGGUCAGGUGUGUAAGUGCUGUGAGGCAUUGAGCUAACUGAUACUAAUUGCCCGUGAGGCUUAACCAUACAACACCCAAGGGGUUU